rnacentral:rRNA from 1 species
GACGAACGCUGGCGGCAGGCCUAACACAUGCAAGUCGAGCGAAGCCUUCGGGCUUAGCGGCGGACGGGUGAGUAACGCGUGGGAACGUGCCCUUGGUACGGAAUAGCCCCGGGAAACUGGGAGUAAUACCGUAUGUGCCCUUCGGGGGAAAGAUUUAUCGCCAAAGGAUCGGCCCGCGUUGGAUUAGGUAGUUGGUGGGGUAAUGGCCUACCAAGCCGACGAUCCAUAGCUGGUUUGAGAGGAUGAUCAGCCACACUGGGACUGAGACACGGCCCAGACUCCUACGGGAGGCAGCAGUGGGGAAUCUUAGACAAUGGGGGAAACCUUGAUCUAGCCAUGCCGCGUGAUCGAUGAAGGCCUUAGGGUUGUAAAGAUCUUUCAGUGGGGAAGAUAAUGACUGUACCCACAGAAGAAGCCCCGGCUAACUCCGUGCCAGCCGCCGCAGUAAAAC